rnacentral:rRNA from 1 species
AUGAUUGUAGCUAACACCCUCUUUAGAAAGAGAGAAUCACAUUUGGUGACUUUUAGUAGUGGACAACACUCUAGCCAGAUUGAUUUCAUCCUCUCGAGAAGAGAAGAUAGGCGUGCGUGCCUAGACUGUAAGGUGAUACAUGAAGAGAGUGUUGUACCUCAGCAUAAGCUGGUGGUUGCUGACUUUCUCUUUCGGAUUCGUGUCAAGCGGGAUAAGCGUGCCAAAGUCGCUAGAACAAAGUGGUGGAAGCUCAACGGGGAGGUAGCUCAAGCGUUCAAGGAGAGGGUCAUUAAGGGGGGCCCAUGGGAGGAAGGAGGGGAUGCAGACAAUGUGUGGAUGAAGAUGGCGACUUGCAUUCGU